GGGGGGGGGGGGGGGGGGGGCGGGGGGAGGGGGGGCGGGCGGGGGGAGGAGGAGCGUGGGCCUCGGACGGUAGCGGCGGGCGGGUGAGUAACACGUGGAUAACCUACCUAUAAGACUGGGAUAACGUCGGGAAACCGGAGCUAAUACCGGAUAAUAUAUUGAACCGCAUGGUUCAAUAGUGAAAGACGGUUUUGCUGUCACUUAUAGAUGGAUCCGCGCCGCAUUAGCUAGUUGGUAAGGUAACGGCUUACCAAGGCAACGAUGCGUAGCCGACCUGAGAGGGUGAUCGGCCACACUGGAACUGAGACACGGUCCAGACUCCUACGGGAGGCAGCAGUAGGGAAUCUUCCGCAAUGGGCGAAAGCCUGACGGAGCAACGCCGCGUGAGUGAUGAAGGUCUUCGGAUCGUAAAACUCUGUUAUUAGGGAAGAACAAAUGUGUAAGUAACUAUGCACGUCUUGACGGUACCUAAUCAGAAAGCCACGGCUAACUACGUG
rnacentral:rRNA from 1 species